rnacentral:lncRNA from 1 species
AGGAUAAUCGUUUAUAAUGUAUAAACAAUGGUUCUUGCCUCAACAACCAAAGGAAAGUCAUUAAAUUUCAUUUUAAUUAAGGAACAUGAUGGAAAAUUAGAAAAGCAGUGUAAGGUCUAUACAUAUGUUAAGAGCAUUUAUUUAUUUUUUUUUGCUGUUGCGAUUCUAUGCCAACUUUUUUGUGCUCACUAAUAAUCAUUAUAUUUUAUUGAAUGAUUAUUGAUCUGAUUUUUUACCGACCAUU